UACCGGUUAUUCCGGGAUAGCCUUUCGAAAGAAAGAUUAAUAGCGGAUAGUAUAACGAGAAGGCAUCUUCUUGUUAUUAAAGAAUUUCGAUAACCGAUGGGGAUGCGUUCCAUUAGUUUGUUGGCGGGGUAACGGCCCACCAAGACAUCGAUGGAUAGGGGUUCUGAGAGGAAGGUCCCCCACAUUGGAACUGAGACACGGUCCAAACUCCUACGGGAGGCAGCAGUGAGGAAUAUUGGUCAAUGGACGAGAGUCUGAACCAGCCAAGUAGCGUGAAGGAUGACUGCCCUAUGGGUUGUAAACUUCUUUUAUAUGGGAAUAAAGUGAGCCACGUGUGGCUUUUUGUAUGUACCAUACGAAUAAGGAUCGGCUAACUCCGUGCCAGCAGCCGCGGUAAUACGGAGGAUCCGAGCGUUAUCCGGAUUUAUUGGGUUUAAAGGGAGCGUAGGCGGACUAUUAAGUCAGCUGUGAAAGUUUGCGGCUCAACCGUAAAAUUGCAGUUGAUACUGGUCGUCUUGAGUGCAGUAGAGGUAGGCGGAAUUCGUGGUGUAGCGGUGAAAUGCUUAGAUAUCACGAAGAACUCCGAUUGCGAAGGCAGCUUACUGGACUGUAACUGACGCUGAUGCUCGAAAGUGUGGGUAUCAAACAGGAUUAGAUACCCUGGUAGUCCACACAGUAAACGAUGAAUACUCGCUGUUUGCGAUAUACGGCAAGCGGCCAAGCGAAAGCAUUAAGUAUUCCA
rnacentral:rRNA from 1 species